rnacentral:rRNA from 1 species
UACAGAGGUCUCAAGCGUUGUUCGGAUUCACUGGGCGUAAAGGGUGCGUAGGUGGUGAGGAAAGUCGGAUGUGAAAUCUCCGGGCUUAACCCGGAAACUGCAUUGGAAACUACCUUGCUAGAGGUUUUGAGGGGGGACUGGAAUUCUCGGUGUAGCAGUGAAAUGCGUAGAUAUCGAGAGGAACACCAGUGGCGAAGGCGAGUCCCUGGAAAACACCUGACACUGAGGCACGAAAGCUAGGGGAGCAAACAGG